AACGAACGCUGGCGGCGUGCCUAACACAUGCAAGUCGAGCGAGAAAGCCCGUAAGGGUGAGUAAAGCGGCGCACGGGUGCGUAAUACGUGGGUAAUCUGCCCUAGAGUCUGGAAUAACUCGCCGAAAGGCGUGCUAAUGCCGGAUGAGACCACGGGAGCUUCGGCUCCUGCGGGAAAAGGUGGCCUCUGUAUACAAGCUAUCGCUCUAGGAUGAGCCCGCGGCCCAUCAGCUAGUUGGCGGGGUAAUGGCCUACCAAGGCUACGACGGGUAGCUGGUCUGAGAGGACGAUCAGCCACACUGGAACUGAGACACGGUCCAGACUCCUACGGGGGGCAGCAGUGGGGAAUCUUGCGCAAUGGGCGAAAGCCUGACGCAGCAACGCCGCGUGUGUGAUGAAGGUCUUCGGAUCGUAAAGCACUGUCGCGAGGGACGAAUAAGGGUCGGGUGAACAAUCCGGUCCGAUGACGGUACCUCGAGAGGAAGCACCGGCUAACUCUGUGCCAGCAGCCGCCGUAACAC
rnacentral:rRNA from 1 species